CGAGUAUCACUCAAUACAGAUAACGCUUGUCUCAGCGAGCUUUGACGUUUCACGAUUGAGUAUUCGGUUUCACUCGCGUUCCAAGUUUACUUAUCUUAUGCCAGUUUUAUGUCAUUGAAGUUCAAAAAAAGUUCAAUUUUUUACGUAUGAAUAAUGCUUAAAAUGAGGAAUUUGGAGUAGGAAUAUCAUAAUGGCAUUGCUAUCGAAAGAAAAAAAUGUUCUUCCAACUUGAUUUCGGAACAAGAUCACAAGCGAACGGAAGCCAUCUUAGAACCGUCGAAAAGUUGAUUCGCAAUGGCCUCUCUUUCUUCUACUGGUUCACGUUCCUGCUCCUCUUCUGAAUCUUGUUCCUCGACUCUUCGAAGGCGUUUAAAUCGUUUUUUCUGAACAAACAAAUUUCUUCUAUAAUGGCAUGGAAAACAAUCACAGGAAAUAAAUAAAGUCAACUCACCCUCUGAA